AGUGCCACCGUGACACGAAUGCAUCCUUAGGAUCUCGGCAGAUGUACACGAUUCGGCAACCUUGGAUGCUUAUGGACUCUGGAAGCAAUGAAAGGGGCAUGUGAGUAGCAAGGAUCCUCGGAGGCGGGAGUUUUUCGAUGAAGGUCAGGUCCCCAUUUAAAGGGAUUUCAACGUCAAUGGUCGGAAUGACUUCUUGGGGGUGACGGGUGAGAAGCGGGUGGUUACCAGAGUCAUAGUGAGAACGGUUGGUGAUAGCAAAUGAGAGAGCCUUCAACCAAGUUGUACCACACUUGGGGUUCGUGGCGAGGAUGAUAUCGUCAUGGCGAGCCUUGAAGGUCGCCUCCAGGAGCAUAAUCCUCUCAAGAAAAAUCCGUCGAAACCAGAAGUUCUUGUAGAGAAAUAGUGGCUCUGACGGAGUCUCUCUCAUUGGAAGUUUGGAUAUGAGAUCAGUACCAUGGCUUUCGGGCGAGCUGUUUGUGGCCCUUCUCUCCUCCUUGGCCUGUGACAUUGCUCAGCUGCUUUGGAGUUUUUGCAGUCUCUCGCUGGGAUGGAAUGGAUGGUGUAGCUGGUACGGAUUGAGCAGCACUGCUGGCGUGCGGAACAUAAAUAGCAGGUAGCCCUUCGUGAGCCAAUGCGGCAAUGCCCAACAUUCUUGCUCCAAAGAGAUCUAGAAGAAAAAAAGUUUAAGGGCACCGACACUACCGGGAAUCAUGGGCCAGAUCGACGAACAGAUGCCAGCUGGACCCAACUAGCUCUGAGCUAGUUGGGCGUGGCAUCUGAUUAUAUUAUAGAGGGAAUACGAUCCGGUUGGUAUAGAUGCCGACAUAUCACCCUAUCAAGAUUGAUCCAGAAAACUGGCAUGCAGAUCUCAUGGUGUCUCACUUGAUGCUAAUCAGUGUUACACAUAAAUUAACAGCAGUGAAUGAACUGCUUCAAGUUUCCAGCGACAAAACAGUGGACUAUGAGUAGCACUUAAAUCAGCACAAAACAGUGGAACUACGCCAGUUGAAGUAGUCUCGAUCAUCACCACUGUGAUUAGCAGUAGAUAUCUGUUCUAUUCCAAAUCUUUCACCUUUGGAACUUUAGAUGUGUGUAUUUUCACAUCAUCAACUAUUUAAGUUGAGCGCCCUACGACAACCGACUCUAAUAGAGAUGAAGUUAUUCAUUACACAGUUUAUAGUACAAUCAUGACAGGGCAAAUGGUUUUAGAAACUGGCAGCAUGAAUGGACUUAUUUUCCUGAAAAUGGAAUCAACAUGACUGGUGAGUUAUGAUUAUAUUUCAUGUCGCCAUGACCUAUUAGUUCCUUGAUCGUGUAUGGGAGUAAUGUUGAAGUUUCUCAAGCUAUGAGGAAAACAAUGACUUCAUGGUGGAAAGGGAAAGACAUUAUACUGCUACUUCGCUUUUACUCUAUGGUGUUUUUGACAGUGAAGGGUUGCAGAAUCUGACCGAAAAUAGUGGGGAGAAUGGCUUUUGAUGAUGCACACUUCAGCAGGGCUUUGGGAUUGCAUCAAAUUUUUUAAUGUUAAAGUGAUAACAGAUGAACGUACGUGAAUGCAUUCCAUGUCAUGUGCUACCAGAAUGCUAUUCAUGCUUUUUGUUUGCAGCUAGUGCAUGCCAAACCCAGGAUGUGCAUGUACAAGAUGGCAGGCGGCAAUAUAUAUACAUGAGUCUUAUUAGUUAUCACAAUGAAUAAUAAGUUCAGAUAGACAAACAUCAUCUGUGCAGUCCCUGAACCAUCAGGAGCUCGGAGCACACGGCGUCGAUGAGUUCUUCUCCAGGUCCUGCUCCCUGGUGGACGGCACCGGUCUUGACACCCCACCGCGCCCGGCUGGGAAUCAGGCCUGGUCCGACCCUGCGCUGCAUCUGGUGCCUCUUCAACGGGUCUUCGACAGGCUCGGCGCGGCGCUUCAUGGGCCACCAUUGAGGCACGAGGUCGGGCUUGCCCUGGACCGGCUGCAGCUGGGCGGCGACACACCAGCUGUGGCCACGGAAGGGCUCAUCACCGUCGUGGCGGCAUCUUCGGCAACAGCCGCCGCAUCUGCACCGGGCGGAUCGACGGUCAUGGCGCCGGCAGGCACCCCCCGGCGCCCUCCGCUUAUGACCAUCCUGGGCUGCUCGCAGUGCCACCUGUUGGGCCGCUCAUUGGGCCAGCCGCUGCCACGGCGUGGGGGGCUCCACGGGCCAACCUCCUGGGUCCUGACUCUGGCUCGGGCGCGCGCGCCUUGGCGCCUGCUGGGCUGUUCCCCAGCGGUGCGCAGGAUGGGCCAGCGCUCUCCCCUAGGCCGGUCGCUGCUACCGUGGAGGGGGCGAGCGCGCGGGCCACUCUCCCUGACGUCGUGGCGCUCUCCUCUGGGCCGGUCGACGCUGAGCUGGGCCAGGACACCGCUCCGCCUGAGGAUGGCCAAGACACACCUGCUACAACAUUGCACGACAUGCAGAUACCUACAUCCGGCACCAUGGGCGCCCAUGCUGCUGCCCACGCUCCUGCUGAAGUCAUCCAUGACACGGGGGCUACCUCCGCGGCGGAGGGUGGGUCUGUCAACGACCUCUUCGCCGCACCGGCCCCGCUGAUACUGCAGCAGCUCCCGAUGCGUCGCCAGCGCACGCGCCGAAGCUUUGACAUGUCCUCAGUCCGCAGGAGUGCUAGACUUGCCACGAAGCCGUUGGUGCCAGCAAUGAAGCGCGCCCAACGCAACUUGUGGCGCAAGUUAGGUGUCUCGGAUCAUGAGCUACGUCCAGUUGAGGACAUAUUGCAGGAAUACAUAAACUCACACCAGUGGCCGCUCCCGGACCAUAUCAUAGCAGCUAUGACGGCCCUGUUCGACCUGGACGACGAAGGAGCGGAAUAGAUCAAUUAAGCACUUAUCCAGCAUGCUGGACAAACAGUCCAUGACAUCCAGAACAAGCUCGCCCUAUGUCAAGAAUGACUCGCCGGGGACCUAUCUACAGUUGGAGAACUGCCAUGUAUCUGAACAUCCUAACGUACUGCUUUAUGUUUAAUCCUCUGCGCCCUGCUGGCUGCGACCUUCGGGCUAGGAGCUGCGAUAGCCUUUCCGGCUCGACCUUUCGGUUUUAUUGUACGUGACAUAGACUUCGCCCUGCUGGCCUCGACCUUCGGGCAACGCAUCUGCAUGUGCAUCAACCUUCCACCGCAAAUGUCGUCACUACAUACUCCGACGAGUUUCGUUAUCAUAGGUGCGCAGCCGUAGCCUCAUCCACCGCGGCCUGGUUUAGCGCAGCCUACAAGCACUACGAACACUACGCUCCUACCUACUGCGCCAUUAAGUCUUCCAAAUGCAUGUAGCUAGCUUCGACACCAUCAGUUGGAACGUGCGCGGCCUCAAUGCUCCCGCGAGAUGCAUGGUCGUCCAUGAAACAAUAAAAGCCACACCGUGCCAUAUUGCGUGCCUUCAGAAAACUAAGCUCAACCAAAUUGAUGCAACACUCGCUGCCUUCUUAGGUGGCUACCGCCUGUCUAAUUUCGCCUACAAACCAGCGCAGGGCACAAAGGGAGCAAUACUAAUUCUUUGGGAUGCCAAUUUCGUCGACCUUACUGAUAUCCAAAUCGGGCGCUUCUCACUUACGGCAACAGUAUCGGCCAAACACUACAGCACUGAUUAUCGCCUAACGACGGUCUACGGCCCAUCCAGGACGAACCUGAAAUUGGCAUUCAUGCAACAUAUGCGAAACAUGAAGCCCGACAACGAUACCAGGUGGUUAAUUAUUGGUGAUUUCAAUCUCAUAUACAAGGCACGAGACAAAAACAACAGAAGAUUGAACCUUAACCUGAUGCAUCGUUUCCAAAACACCCUAGCUUUCUGUGGCCUUAAAGAAAUUCAUCUACAAAACCGCAAAUACACGUGGAGCAAUGAAAGGCGCCAACCAACGCUUUCACAUCUGGACCGCUUCUUCUACAAUGAAGCCUGGGACAUCACAUUUGACGACCACACCCUACACGCCCUUUUCUCCUCUCACUCCGACCACUACCCUCUGUUGCUAGCGCAACUGUCCGGACCACGGAAACCACGACCGUUUAAAUUUGAGAACUUUUGGACAAAACUACCACAGUUUCAGGACAUUGUACAGCGAACAUGGUGCCUUCCAACGCACCAUACCGAGCCGUUCCACUGCCUAGGUCACAAGUUGCACUUAACGGCAAUGGCGCUCAGGAAAUGGAGCAAUUCCAUCAUCUCAGACGCUGAACUAAAGCUGCAGAUGGCACAAGUGGUGAUACUACAUCUAGAUACGGCACAAGACCUUAGAUCCCUCUUGGAUGCUGAAUUUGCCCUACGAGCCAAACUCAAAAAACGUAUUCUAGGGUGGGCAGUAAUCGAGCGAGCAAGGAGACGGCAGUCAUCGCGCAUCAACAAUCUACGUGAGGGAGAUGCGAAUACACGUUACUUCCAUCUUAAGGCCAACGUGCGAAGAAGAAAAAAUUUCAUACAAAGGCUGAGAUCCGACACAGGCUGGGCCCUCACGCAUCAAGACAAGCAAGAUGUCAUUCCUAACCACUUCAGCAGUUUUGUGAUGACACCCCAACAACGCACACGAGACCUGCGCUGGGAAAAUCUACACCACUCCCAGGAAGACCUUUCUGACCUAGACUAGUCGUUCGAAGAAAUGGAGAUCCUACAUGCCAUAAAACAAUUACCGCAUGAUCGGGCUCCCGGCCCUGACGGCUUCACAGGCCUCUUCUUCAAGACAUGCUGGAACACCAUCAAAGGAGACAUAAUGUCGGCGAUUAACGCUUUCUACAAUAUCCGCUGCAACGACCUUAACCUCCUAAAUAAGGCAAACAUCGUUCUUAUCCCUAAAAAGGAGGGUGCAGAAACCAUUCUAGAUUAUGGGCCAAUCAGCCUCAUCUACGCAUUUGCGAAAAUCAUCACUAAAGUUCUGGCGCUCUGACUCAGCCUUCAUAUGAAUGCCAUCAUCUCACCCUAUCAGAGCGCAUUCAUCAAGGGCCGUAGUAUUCAUGACAACUUCUUAUAUGUCAGAAAUAUUGCCCGCCGUUUCCACCGAAAGGCAACCCCGGUCCUAUUCAUGAAACUCGACAUCUCAAAAGCUUUUGAUUCAGUACGCUGGGACUACCUCAUCGAUUUGCUGCAGCACAAAGGCUUCCCUGCUCGUUGGAACCAAUGGAUUACGGCCCUCCUUGCCACCUCAACUUCAAAAGUGCUACUGAACGGCACGCCUUUGCCUCCGAUCCACCACGAAAGAGGCCUCAGACAGGGCGACCCGCUUUCACCCCUCCUUUUUGUUCUGGCCAUCGACCCACUACAGCACAUUAUCGCUCAGGCGACUCAGAGGGGCCUACUCACCAAGCUAGGAGGAAGAGCGGCAAGAUUUACAGCAUCCCUGUAGGCCGAUGAUGCGGUGAUUUUCAUUAAGCCCACACGUAAAGACAUCUCCAACUUGGCAAGCAUCCUGCAAAAAUUUGGGGAAGCCACAGGGCUACACACGAAUCUGCACAAGAUGCAGAUUGCGCCCAUUAGCUGUCAUACCAUUGACCUGGACCACUUACUUAACGAUUUGCCAACGACAAGAACAAACUUCCCAGUGCGAUACCUUGGCUUCCCAUUAUCAACAAGGCGCCUCAGGAAAAUUGAGUUCCAACCACUCAUAGAUAAAGUGGUAGGUAAACUAUCGUCAUGGACGGGACGUAACCUAACACAGGCCGGACGGAUAACCCUCACAAAGUCGGUCCUCUGUUCGCAGCCAGUAUAUUUCUUUACAGCUCUAAAACCAAGCAACGAAGUACUCCACGGCAUAGACAAAAUCCGAAAAAAAUUCCUAUGGGCAGGAGACCAACAACUAAUUGGGGGUAAAUGCAAAGUCAAUUGGACGAAAACCUGCUUACUAAAACAAUAUGGGGCCUGGGCAUCCCAGACCUGGAGAAAUUCGCACGAGCCCUCCGGAUAAGGUGGCUUUGGCAUGAAUGGGUGUCACCGAAAAAACCCUGGAACAACACGGAAACCCCAUGCGACGAGACUGACAGGCAACUUUUUGCUGCAUGCACGUCUAUCUCCCUGGGCGACGGCAAAAAAACCAAUUUCUGGGCAUCUGGAUGGCUACAUGGCCAGCAUCCCAAGGACAUCGCCCCGCUCCUCUACGCCAUUUCACGCAGAAAGAAUAGGAGCGUCCAUGAUGCCAUCAGUAAUAAUAACUGGAUCCGCGACCUCACAAUCGACAGCAACAUUACCGCUUCUCAUCUAACGUCGUUUGCCCACUUAUGGCACAUGGUCAAUGGUACGAAGCUCAGGACAGGGGAGGCUGACACUAUUACCUGGAAGCUGACAAAAUCGGGCAUGUAUACAACGGCCUCGGCAUAUAGAGCACAAUUCCUGGGUUGCACCGAAACACCCAAUAUAUCUUCCAUCUGGAAAUCAUGGGCGCCACCAAAGUGCAAAUUUUUCGCGUGGCUAAUUACACAAAACCGAGUUUGGUGAGCUGAUCGCUUGGCCAAGCGCGGUUGGCCCCACAACGCCACUUGCACUCUGUGCAGAUGCACUAUGGAGACUGGACACCACUUGUUAGCCGAGUGCAUGUACCCAAGGAGAAUCUGGGAUCAAACGGCGACGUGGCUGGCACAGCCUAAUCUACGGCCUAAUGCAUGGCGACCUUCAUCCAACGCUCUGAGUGGUGGACUUCUAUCACCACAACACCAGACUCAUCACGUAAGGUCCUAAGAAGCCUCACUCUUCUAAUCAUGUGGGAAGUUUGGAAAGAACGGAAUGCACGUAUUUUCAACAGGCGCGAGACCUCACCAACGACACUGAUGGCGAAAAUUAAGGACGAAGCCUCAGCUUGGCUCUUGGCGGGGGCCAAAGAUUUAGCGUUACUCCUAGCACGCGAGUAGUCCCUUAAGGCCUUCUCAGUUUUUUUUGUUUUAUUUCCUAUACACUCCUGCUCUAUCAAUAAAAUAGGCACUUUCUCGUGCCCGUUCGUAGAAAAAAAACAUCUCUGUUCACUGAGCACUCAGAGAAAGGCUUUGGGGGUGAUUUUUUAUCUGUUUUUUUAGUUUACACGCAGUAUGGAACUCGAGAAUAAAGUCCAAGCAGUGUUAUGUGUAAAUUUUGUAAAAUAAUAUUUGUUGAGAUUUGCUCCGGUGGUCCUUCCCAUGAGAUUUGCACGAAUUUUAAAGCAACGGACAAUUAAUUAAUUAAUUAAUUUUUUUUGUCCGCAGCGCGCCGAGCGUGGACCCCCGAUCCGAUUUCGUCGUGUCGUCGGUAGCGGCGGCGACCGGCGGAAUCCCUGAUCCGAUUUCGACGGCGGCGGCUACGGCAACGGCGGCCACCUCUCCCUGAUCCCUCAUCGCCCUCUGUUUCGGCUGCGACCUGCGACAGCAUGUUGUCGAUUUCAAAGUGACAGAAGCAUGGGUGCGCAUGCUUCUUACUGCUUUGGUCUGACUAUGAAAUGCUACUGUUUGAAUGUCUUCUAAUGUCAUGUCUUCAAGAGUGUAAUAAUGUGUGCGUUCAUCGACAGAAGUGCUUGUUCAACUGAUUUCAUGAUACUGUCAAUUUGUGUGUUCAUCGACAGUGUAGUCUUUUAUAUUUACAGGAGAGAUAAUGCAACCCAGAAUUGAUUUUCGCACACUGACAGGACAUAUAAUGCAACCUGCUCAUCUGCUUGGAAUCUGUCAAUUUGGGUAUCGGCAAGGAACAACGUAUUCUUUCACUUUUACAGUAGAGAUCAUGGAACCAAGAAUCGAUUUCUCAUUAACGUAGAAUAAAUUCUAGACAGCUAUGUGUUGGUACAAAUGGCCAAUAAUCACAUACUGUUAGAUAUUGUGUCGAAUAUAUUGAUGCUGCUCGUUUGAUACAGGUGUAAGGAAGGAGUGGAAAAAAAACAAUACAGCGCUGAGCUGAGCUGCCUACACUGACGCCUCCAGCGGCUCAACCCGUACUUGGGAUGAAGUGUAUCCAGUAUGCAACAAGAAGCCUCACAGUUGCAUUCUUUGAGAAGAUCGCCUGUCAAGAAUCAAUUAUUCCCUGGUCAGAUCACUGCCUUGUUGCUCAUUAGAGAUAAGUUGGAGAAAAACUUUUUAAAAUAGCUGGGUGUACCCUAGUUUCAAUAUGACGUGGCAGCGGUUUUCGCUGAGGUGGCUGCCACUGUGUAUUGGACCCGCAUCUCACAGGGAGGGAGGGGGGGGGGGGGAGCGAGCGAGUUUGAGUGGACAUGGAGCUUGGCAAUGGCGGUGGUAAAGAAGAAAUUGAGAAGCGCAGGCGGAGCGGGAGAUGCUCAGCACGAGAAGGCUCACCGUCGCGGGAGCUCCUCGCCACCCACCGAUGCUCCACAUCUCCUGCUGCCCGCUGGGGCUCCAGGCUGUUGUGCCACCUUCGGGCUUGCUCGCCAAAUGGGUCGCCGCGCUCGCCGUGCAGAGCUGUACUCGUUGGUAGGGUUGUUCGUGCCCUCUCGCUGGCUGGGCUGCCCCGCUUGAGUGCGCGCUGUGAAGCCGCCUGCCGCGGCACUAGGGCUGGCCCUAGAAACUCCACUCCCUCGCUAGAACCGCGUCGGCAGACUCCCGCCUGCCGCCGUAUCGUCAGCUAGGGAAGCGCAGGUCGGGCAGGGUGUAGGGCAACCUCAUGUUAGCUUAUGGUUGCAUAAACACGGGGCGCUUGGGUUUAGCCGUAGACAAGAACUGUGUGGCCAUUUAGCCAAUCAUAUUGGAAGCAACAAAUAGAUGGCAUAGAGAGUUCCAUAUUGCUCCUUAUUUGAGUCAACAAUAUUCCUCACGUGGCAAUAGCCUGGGGCAAUCUUCCAUCAAGGCUAACUAUCAAUGAUCAAGCCUUCCAUUGGCUUAAGGAGAGAGCACUCUGCCAAGACAUGGUGUCAGUUUUUUAUACCUGGCAACCUACCAAGGGGUAUCCCGAGGUAUUAGAUUGGUUAGUGGGGAAUCGUCAGACCUAGAACUCAAAGGUAAAAGCGAGGACACAAGAGACGGAUUUAUACAGGUUCGGGCCACCAGAGUAGCGUAAUACCCUACGUCCUGUUUGGGGUGUUGUAUAUUGCGGCCCGCGCUUGGUUGUUGUUUGGUGUUGAGGAUUUGGUCCUCUGUUGUGGUUCUCUAUAUGCCAAUUGGUGCAAAUGGCAUGUCAUAUCUGUUGGUGCAAUAUGUUGUGUCAAAGAAAAUGCAAUCUUCAAAACUCUUGUACAUCUCUCUAGUCCUCCCAUCUACCCAAAACAAUCCUCUAACAACAUUAUUAUUAUCAUCAAUCAUCGUUGCAUAAUAGAAGGAAGGACUUUCAGCUUGUUACUUUUGAAAAUACUCUAAUGUUGCAUCCAUAUCCCUGUAGGUAAGACCUCCUCUCAAGUGUGUCCUCAUGUUUGAAACAUCCUUGCUGCUGAGAGUAAGGUUGCCAAGCCCCCCAUGGAAAUCAGCAAGCACCCCCAUAUCUGUGUUGUGCUAAUAUUUCUAUGGUGUAGAGUUUUCAGCAGCUCAUAAUCAGCCCACGAGAUGCUUCGGUGGGACCUCAAGUGUUUCCUAACCCCAAUCGCCUUCACCAUGGGAUGAGUAUGGUCAGAUUGCAUUACAAUCACUCUCCACCUCCCAUUUCUCAAGCCAACCGCCAUAUGAGCUUUGCAGUCCAACUUUUUGAUAGUGUUGCUCUUCCUUGUUGCUGUGGUAAGCACAGCUAUUGCCGCUCUUUUUUUUUAUCCCACUAGUGUUGCAGUGUCAUUUGUUGAUGUGCUCGCUGAUGUGUUUUCCUCUCCAUCAUCUUCUCCAUCAAGAGCUGGCUUCCUAGCAUGAGAACACUCCCACUCCUUUCUGCUCAGCUCCUUUGUGACGUUGCUAUUUCUUGAAGAAGCCACUCUUAUGCUGAAACCCAACUUCAUGGCAUACUCAUUGUAAACCCGCCUUGCUUCCUGUAUCGUGUCAAAUUCCAUCCCAAGUUUCGGCACAAUAGGCUGUGAGUAUACGAUGUCUUCAUCCUCAUGGUAGACCUCUUUAUUUGCACCAACUUGUACUGAAACAUAUUCACUUGAGAGUGUUGAUAUGCUCGCAACAGGAACCAAUGCUCCAUCCCCCUGUAAAUCAAUGUUUCAGUUAGUGUUACUAGCAAAAUCAAUGUUGAGAUAUUGCAAAAACUAUACAUGGAAGUAAGAUGUAACAUUCAGUUAGCACAUACAUUUUUUGAUGUUUCAAUAACUUAUUUUCAAUGUGGCACAUGCUAUCAUUAGAUCUUGCAACACUUAUAUGUAACAUUCAGUUAACCCAUGAGCAUUUUGAGAUGUUACAAUAACUGUUUUUCAAUGUUCCACAUGCUAUCAUUAGAUGUUGCAAAACUGUAUAAGAUUUUGUCACAUCUAGUGUUUCAAACGAAUGAGGCUGCGGCUCUGAAAAUCAUACCUGCCGUUUUUGGAGACUCGAUUCGGAUGCCAAUCCCCCAUGGACGCUGCUCGAAAGACCUGGGGGCGGGUGCUGAAGUGAAUUAUCACGCUUGUUUGAAGAAUUCAAUGCAACAUUUAGGGGGUUGGAUGGUCGGCAUACCUGGUAGCGUGUUGCGGUCAAUCAUCUGUAGAUCUAAGGGGUUCCGAGCAACAAUUGGGGGCGGGUAGCUGCCAUGUGGUUGAUCUGGAGGGGGGAGUUCUAUUUUUUGAAGGAUAUGCGCCAUCUUCACUCGGCGCCGACGGAUCUGGGCGGCGGCGACCGGCGGAUCUGGGCGGCGCCGCGAAGCUGGGAGCUCGCUCCUGUCCCGACCCGCGUGAAGAAGUUGACGCCAGGGUGCGCUCCUUGUGUCCUUGUGUUUGGUGCGGACUUGACUGGUUGCCCUCCUUAGGUUUCAUCUGAUGGCUGACACGUCUUUAAUCCGAUGAUGGAGAGUGCGUCCGAUUUUUGCGCCCGGAACGGACGUCUGGGCGCUAGUAGCGCCAAUUAAUAAAACUUCUGUUAUCCAAAAAACCAUUAUGCAUGGUACAAAAGAAUAGGACCAAUCACAUCGAGUUAUUCCUCCUUAGUUGGAGUGUAGUUAAUAGGUGGGCUUUGAGCUGUAUCUGAGCUGAGAUUUUGUGUUGCUUUUGAUUAUUCUGAGUCACUUAUUUUCUUUUUCCUUACUUUUUUUGUAGGGUCCAUAUAUGGGCCUUUCACAAAUGCCAGAACUCUAUUAUAUAAUAAAGCUUCCACUAUUUAAAAAAUACAUGUCAUAUAUAUUACUCCUUUUUAUCACAAAAAAAAUACAUGUCAUAUAUAUUACCGCAUAAUAGCUGAAACAUUCUAUCCAAGCAACAGGUUACCAUAUUCUCAACGUUUCUCAUGAGUUUGGUGUAAUAACUAUUAAAGCGCAAUGGAGAUGAACCAGUACUAUUGUCCUUCUGAUCUGCAAAAUGGUGUAUCGGUGUACUUACAAGUUAGUAAACAUGUUGAUAAAUAUUUUUAUCCACCCUGUGUCACCAUUUCUUAAUUAGUGUUAAGUUAGAGUGACAUAUAUUGCUCUAUGUAUAAGGGAUUCAAGAAAUUCCUGAGGAAACAGAGGGUCCGGUUUUGGGUAGUCCAAAUCAAAAACUAUAAUUUGCCACGCUUUUGGCAAGAGAUUCAACUUCCAUCAGGGUAUGUACCUAUUGACGCAAGAUUUUGACACGUAUUUUGAAUCGGCAUCAGGGAAGGAAAAGAUUGGCCGGUGCGGCGGAUUAAAAGCUACAGUUGGGAAUCGGCCGAUUGGUGCUACAGUGUAUCGGCCGAUUGGCGAAUGGAGUUGAUGAAAGUCGGCCGAUUGGAAGGUUGGGACAGCUGGGCCAAUAUAGGCUUAAGGUGGGCCAGAGAAGAAGAUAGAAAGAGAUUGGCCCAUGGAGGUAUGAUAACCAACUCCGAUACGAGUUGUGUUUGUAAAUAUUUGUUUUCGUUGAAAAUUAGAGAUAGAUAGUCGGUUAGGAAAUCAGUUGUAACAUGCUAUAAAUAGCAAUCUCUAGAGAUUUGUAAAGACAACACAUCAAUCAAUACAAACAAACUACUUUUUUCUCGUACUUUACUUUCAUGUCGGCGACUUCGCCAAUACAUCUUUUUCUUUCACGAGUUCAUACGGAUUGGCAGGGCUGCAUCGACUCGACCACCGGCCGAUUUGUAAGUUCCGUUUAUCAAGUAAUAUCUAAGCUUUAACUUCGAGUGCAUCGCUGUCGUUUCGUUUAGAUUUAUUCACCAGUUAUCGAUAUUUACUAGAAUUAUAGGUUUUAUCUAUUGUUUUAGUUUUUAUCACCAGUUAUCCAGCUUAAGAUUUGAACUGUCGGCUUCAUUACUGUUGUUCUUAUUUAUCGCUACGUAGCCGAUUAGAUCUAUUUCAAGUGAUUGCAUUUGUGGCGUUGUUUAGCCUACUCUAGUAGUUUCUUUACAAUCGCUACGUGAUUAUCGGCUGUUCUGUAGCCGGUCAUCUCUACAGCAAAUCGGCCGAUUCGCUGAUAUGCUUUUCGAGACAGAUCAGAACUUUAGCCGAUUGAAACCCCUAGAAUUUAAUAUGUUUCUUUCCUUGUCAAUCAACAGGUCAGAUUGACUGGCACGCCGCGCGAACCGCACUUGGGCGAUUACCCGAACAGGAGUUAGGCCCUGUUUGGCAACACACUCCUAAACUUUAGUACCUGUCACAUCGGAUGUUUGGAUACUAAUUAGGAGUAUUAAAUAUAGUCUAAUUAUAAAACUAAUUGCACAGAUAGAGUCUAAUUCGCGAGACGAAUCUAUUAAGCCUAAUUAGUCCAUGAUUUGACAAUGUGGUGCUACAGUAACCAUUUGCUAAUGAUGGAUUAAUUAGGCUUAAUAGAUUCGUCUCGUGAAUUAGUAUAGGGGUUCUGCAGUUAAUUUUAUAAUUAGCUCAUGUUUAAUCCUCCUAAUUAGCGUCCGAACAUCCGAUGUGACCCUCCUAACGUUGAAGAUCAUCGGCCGAUUUUUAGCGCCAACAGUACCCAAUAUACAAUGGCUUAGAAUUAGUGCUAUUAACUUUUCGAAAAGUAAGUAUGACAGGUUCCACCAUCAGAAACCUAACCAAUUAAGCUACCCAAUAUACAACAGCUUAGGAUUAGUACUGUUUAGAUCCAUGAGAAUACGAGUAGGUGGACAGGUUCCACCAUCAGGAACCUAACCAAUUAAUUUAAGCUACACUCAGUGUGCACCCAAACUCGAGUGGGUUACAAUUAAUAGUGCGUUAGAGCUGAAGAAUGUUGUGUUGCUUCAUUUGUAUAGAGUAGGAAGUGAAAUAACUGGACAGGCAUGCACCUGGUUAUAGAUAAAGAAAAUUUAUUGAAUUUUCAUCACACAGAUCGAUGGGAACAUUACAACGGCGUCAAUUAGGAUUUGGGCAGCAGCACAUGUCAUAGCCUGCUUCUUGCCUGCAGUAGGCGGGGCUGUUGCUAAUUCCAUGUACCUCGCAUACAUGCACGCAGAUCGGGUCCGUACAAUAGUCUGGAUUAGUGGGCAAAAAGCACGGUUCUGCCCGUGGUGGUGCCCUUGAUGCUGGUGGUGGUGGUGAUUCUUGCGGCAAGUCCCCGUUCAGUGACAGUAACCCAACCCGGCCGCUGAAGCCUACACUAAAAUCAUCAAUUGUUUAGGUUACCGUUCAGUAUAGCAGUUUAGGUAAUAAAAUAAGUAGGGGUGCUUACCGUUCCAAGCUUCGCAAGAUCGGGUGUUUGAAGACAUGAUGGCAAGAAGCGCCAACGAAGUAGCCACCAUGCAUAGAGUCAUGGGAUUAGUAUGCUUGACGAGUGCCAUGAGGAAGGAAGUAGUAUCACAACCAGUUCUUUUUCUGUGGGAGGAGCAAGGGUGCUUGCAGCCCCUUUAUAGAUUGCAUGUCAUCAAAUGUAUCGUGUCAGACUUUGUGGCUGUUAUAUCCUAUCUAUAUGUAUCCAAAACUAGUAUGUUUGGGUAUCUUAGGACUAGGAUUUAUAUCAUGUCCAGCCAUAUAUAUACAUUAUUGAUAGCUUGAUAUCUCAAGUCUAUGAUUUUAUCUUUAUAGCUGAACAAGAAAAUAUGAGUGUCAACAUUUAUAGGCCUGCGGUUUCGGCAGGUGUUCGUAGCUACUACUUCCAUUUCACAUUAUAUAUAGUUAUCUUUCUAGCUUUUUCCCAAGUUAAAUAUUGCAAAAUUCAAUCAUUAAUUUCUAAAGAUUCAUAUAGUUUAACAAUAUAGGAUUAUUUUUUCUCGAUUCAUCAUGACAAAAAGAUGUUGACAGAAGUACUGUAGCAAAGGACCGGCGCUGUUGGUGGAAGCUGAAAUGUGAAGGCCAUUGAUCUAAUAUCUUAGAAAGUUGGCACGUUGUGUUCACGUAAUCAUCUUGAGUUCACCAUGCCACUGCAACUCUACUCUAAGAGAGAUGAGAUAAUUCAUUGAUAUUAGAAAUUGCAGUCUGAAUAGACUUCAAUUUUUUUUCUUAUGCGGCCGGUUUGACUGCAAAAGACAGUUAGAAUGCUACGCAUCGCUGCAUUGUAAUUUGAUGUGCUAGGUCUUGCAUAAUCCAAUAGGUCCUCCCUUGUGUGUGGGAAGCAAAAUUCAGUUGUGUGCUGCCUGUGCAAAACGUCCAAAAGCAUGACUAGAUCACAUGUUCAACCACGAAAUAAAUAAAAAUGAAUGGGUUUGCAUGGGCUGGGGGUGAAAACUCUAUGGCAAUUUGUAGGGAAUUAUCAAAACCGUUUCAUAUAUCAUUUUUGUUAACUCAUACUUGGGACCAAAUAGGGCGAAGACGGAUACUGAGAAACAACUUGAAUUAAUGUAGUCUAGAUCAUUUUUCCCCAGUCCAACACGGUACUGAAAAUUGCUAGUCAGUGGCUCUUUGGGGAAAAAACAAUUUACGGAAAAACUUAUUAAAUUUCACAGAUCACAAUAGAUGCAUGGCUUCCUGAGAGUGCGUUCCUGGCGAUGUGGUACAUGAAGUUGCUUCAUGCUAAUCAUGCUUAUAGUUAGUUUGCAGCUACUCCAUGCGCAAACCAUGAUGUUCAUGGACAAUAUGACUGGCAGUAUAUAAAAAGAACAAUUAACUUCAGAAAACAGAGCUGGCACAUCUAUGAGAUUUUAUUAGCUGGAGUAUGGAACUGGAGGAUAUGGUUGAAGCAAGAGUUGCAAGAUAUCUGCUAGUUUCCAAUGACACAGAGAUUAAGAGAGAUUGGUGAGCUGUUAGCGGAAACUGAAAAACCCAAAUAUGGUGAGCUGUUCAUCGUCGGCGUCAUCAUCUUUAGCACAGCCUUGGGAGGGGCCUCCAAAGAAUCCGGUGCCCUCCGAUACUGUGGUGGGCGCCAUGGUUGGGGCUAAUACCACCGACACCCCCCUACUGCCGCGGCCGUCGCAACCUGAGCCGCGGUGCAGCUGCAGUGCACUUUAUCGGGUUGAGCCGUGUCUCGAGUUCCUCCCGGCACCGGUGGGAGGGGCCGGACCAGCGGCGCCCUGUCUGCCACCGUCGCCGCUAGCGCCCGUCCACCACCGUGGCACCGCGGUCACAUGGAUGGCGCCUUGUAGGAUGUUGCUGAUGUACAGCGCGGUGCAGACUCCGGCGAUGCAUGGCUAUGGUUCCUGCAACCUGGCGGCGUUCGUGGACAGCACAAUGGCGGAAGGUGGCGACUAGAUGCUAUCAUCACUGUACCUGCAAUGACGUGAACAAGAUCCAGCUUGAUUAACCUUUAAAAUACACGAAUCGAGAUAUGAGUUAAGUUCCGGGUUGAGUACCCAAUCGUUAUGAAAUACACGAACGCUACGCAUCGCUGCAUUGUAAUUUGAUGUGCUAGGUCUUGCAUAAUCCAAUAGGUCCUCCCUUGUGUGUGGGAAGCAAAAUUCAGUUGUGUGCUGCCUGUGCAAAACGUCCACAAGCAUGACUAGAUCACAUGUUCAACCACGAAAUAAAUAAAAAUGAAUGGGUUUGCUUGGGCUGGGGGUGAAAACUCUAUGGCAGUUUGUAUGGAAUUAUCAAAACCGUUUCAUAUAUCAUUUUUGUUAGCUCAUACUUGGGACCAAAUAGGGCGAAGACGGAUACUGAGAAACAACUUCAAUUAAUGUAGUCUAGCUCAUUUUGCCCCAGUCCAACACGGUACUGAAAAUUGCUAGUCAGUGGCUCUUUGGGGAAAAACAAUUUACGGAAAAGUUAUUAAAUUUCACAGAUCACAAUAGAUGCAUGGCUUCCUGAGAGUGCGUUCCUGGCGAUGUGGUACAUAUGAAGUUGCAUCAUGCUAAUCAUGCUUAUAGUUAGAUUGCAGCUACUCCAUGCGCAAACCAUGAUGUUCAUGGACAAGAUGACUGGCAGUAUAUAAAAAGAACAAUUAACUUCAGAAAACAGAGCUGGCACAUCUAUGAGAUUUUAUUAGGUGGAGUAUGGAACUGGAGGAUGUGGUUGAAGCAAGAGUUGCAAGAUAUCUGCUAGUUUCCAAUGACACAGAGAUUAAGAGAGAUUGGUGAGCUGUUAGCGGAAACUGAAAAGCCCAAAUUUGGUGAGCUGUUCAUCGUCGGCGUCAUCAUCUUUAGCACAGCCUUGGGAGGGGCCUCCAAUGAAUCCGGUGCCCUCCGAUACUGUGGUGGGCGCCAUGGUUGGGGCUAAUACCACCGACACCCCCCUACUGCCGCGGCCGUCGCAACCUGAGCCGCGGUGCAGCUGCAGUGCACUUUAUCGGGUUGAGCCGUGUCUCGAGUUCCUCCCGGCACCGGUGGGAGGGGCCGGACCAGCGGCGCCCUGUCUGCCGCCGUCGCCGCUUGCGCCCAUCCACCACCGUGGCACCGCGGUCACAUGGAUGGCGCUUUGUAGGAUGUUGCUGAUGGACAGCGCGGUGCAGACUCCGGCGAUGCAUGGCUAUGGUUGCUGCAAGCUGGCGGCAUUCGUGGACAGCACAAUGGCGGAAGGUGGCAACUAGAUGCUAUCGUCACUGUACCUGCAAUGACGUGAACAAGAUCCAGCUUGAUUAACCUUUAAAAUACACGAAUCGAGAUACGAGUUAAGUUCCGGGUUGAGUACCCAAUCGUUAUGAAAUACACGAAUGCUACUAAUAUAAUCUUUGGUUGGUACUCCUGCGUCCUAAAAAGACUGCUUGAAACCAUCCAACAAAAACCCGCAUAAUACCUUCCAGCCCAAUUAAUAAAUCAAUAAUUUAUUCCCAUCAUCGACGCCCAAGCCAGACUCGCUCGGCCAUUCGGCCAUUCCAUCGCCGCUUCGUUCGGUUGCCCCUCCCCAUUCCAUGUCCGCAUAUAGCUUCGGAAAUCAGAACCGUGCUGCAAUUGUGCAGUGCGGAUUGCAUUAUUUUGCAGCAUCAGCGGCAUGAUGCAUUGCUGGUUUCAGAAAUGUUCCAGAAAUUCUGCUUGUAGGAAGUUAUCACUUAUAAAUGAGCAUAGGAAGUUAUGUAUCCAUCCUGAAAUGUUGCGGAAACUUUGCAAACAAAAUUAAAACAGAAAUAAAUUUGAUACUGUUACACUAGUGCACAGAGACACAUAAGAUGGUGGAGCAAACUGAGGGGUCCAGAUCAUUUGAUCACCAUCAACAGCUUGGGCUCCUCAAGAGGACAAUCCAGUGGUGACUUGUGCGCAAUGACGGUAAGAGCGAGAUAUAUUGGCAGAUGAGAGAUUAUUUUCCGGCGAACAUGAACUUUUGUUUAACGUUCCGUAUACUUUGGUCACUCCCAUAUUAAUUCAGCCAUUGUAUCAGGCUGUUCCGGCUUUGAGGAGUCUCGAUGCCGAGGGUACACGGAAGCGGCUUGAGGUCCUUGGCUGCUCGAGCACACGACAGCUCAAGCUUGACAAGGCGAUCAGAUCCAGCAGACUGGGUGGCGGCCAGAGGCCACCACAACUCUGCGCUAAGAGAGAUGACAUAAUUGGUUGCUCCCAGAAAUGGCAGCAAGAAUAUACUUCAAUUUUUUCCUUGAGCAAUCAACUUGACAUGGAAGGACAGUUAGAAUGCUAUGCAUUGCUGCAUUAUAAUAUAAUUGGAGGUCACAUAAUAUACUAGUUCCUCACUUAUGUGUGCGAAGUAACAUCGAAAUUUCUGCUAGCUGUGAGGAACACACUGAAUUCAUGGUACAAAUGCUUGACAUUGAACAAUUGCAGAAUAUUUUGCCAAAAACAGCAUCAGCUUGUUUUCAAGGAUGCACACGCUAGUGAAUCUUUAAAACUUGAUCAAAAUUGUCAUUUUUGAGAGAAAUAGAUGAACCCAUAUGCAUUUCAGGUCAUGCGGUACAAGAAUUAGAAUAGCAUGCUAGUCCUGUUUUGGUUUGCAGCAUGGGCAUGCCAAACCCAUGUUGUACAGGAAGGCACGCAAUAUACACACACACAUAUGAUUCUUGUCAGUUACCAAAAUGAAACAUUUAUAGUACAGAUAACAGAGCAUUGUGUGGGUCUUUAGUUCUACAGGGAGUAUGGAACAGUAGGAAAACGUCAAAUCAGCGUUAUGUCUAGUUGCGUAAAGCAAUAUGAGUUUAUGGCCAACAGUAGAUUUCUAGUAGUAACAGAGAAAAACAGAGAUGUUGAGAUAUUGGAGAGAACUGAAAUGGCCAAGAAUAGUUUGGUCAAUAUAGAGAGUAGAGCCGUCAAACAGAGAAGGUUGAUCAUCGCAGUCUGACGGAAUACACAAGGGAGGGAACGAAGGACCUUGCCGAAAUUGUGGCCAAGGACGCCAAUCUCAUAAUAUCCUAUACUUCAGUGGUCACUCGGCACUUCGUCCUUGCUGGACUAGUCAAGAUCAUUCCAUCAUGGUUCCCAGCGCACUUGACACUCAAGUCCAUGUUCAUCAGUCCCAGAAAAUGUUUGUGGUCGCCGCCACCGCUAGCUAAUGCUUGCAAUCACAUCUUCAUAUGCGUAUGCUAUGGUUUAGAAUCCUAUACAUUUCCUGUUCAGCACUUUCUAUUGUCACUCUCUAUAGAGAUUGCAUGGACUACUCUGUCAUCAAUACAGCUCCAUUUUGAUAGCUCCGAAUAUAUGAAUUCUGUGCUGCAACAGCAGUGCAGAAUUAGUGAUGGAUUAGUUUGCCCACACUGGAUAGAUUGCCAUUUCUGACGUGUAAAGGUUGUUAGACCAGCAUUGUACGGUUGAAAAACAACAGGUGCAUGAGUUUCUCCUCAUGAAAAAUGCACAACCAAAAGCAUGACAAAACCACACGUUUAAAGACGAAAAAAUAAACCGGAUGGGAUCACAUGGUUGGGGGGGUGAAAACUGUAUGAUGUUAGUACGAAACAUGAAACAUCAAAACCAUUUCGUAUAACACUUCUUUUUAGCUCAUGGUUGGAAUCAAUUAAGGCGAAGCCAGAAUGCCGGAUACAGACAAGCAACAGGAAUUAUUGUAAUCUCGAUCAUUUUGCCUAGAACCAACACGUACGGCGCUGAAAAUUUCUUCUGAGGACGUACAAGCUAGUGGCUCUUUGGGAAAAAUAAUGUAAAGGGAAGUUACCAAAUUUCAGAGAUCACAAGUUCCUGGCGAUGUGGGACAUAUGAAGCAGCAGCAUGCUAACCAUCUUACUAUUACUAAUUGGAGGCUUCUUUUGAAACCUCCAGGUGAAGCCAUCUAGGAUUCCUAGGUGGACACUCAGAGAAACCUUAGAAAUUCUCAAAAAAAGCAAAAUAUCCGACCAUCGAUCGAUAGAUUCAAAUCAUCAUAGCCAUUAGAUCUAUUAUGUUUUCUAAAAAAUUACCCACCUAUGCCAUUAUGAAAAUAGCCUAAAGUAACCUCCUAAAUCUAUAUAUAAAUUACCCACAUCUGCCAUUAUAUAAAAUAAACUAAAAUAACCCCUUAAUCUUCAUCAAAAUUACCCAUUUAUGCCAUUAUAAAUAAUAUUUAAAAUAACCCCCUAAUUUGCAACCAAAUUGCCCACCGCUAUUACUUAAAAACUUAAAGUAACCCGUUAAAUUUGCAUCUAUAUUACCCACACAUGCCAUUAUUAAAAAUAACAUGGUAACCCUACGUUUGAAUCAAACAACCUUAAUUAAAAAUAUACAACAAUAUAUGAUUCUAAAUCGUCUAUAUCUUGCACUAUUGGUAUAUGAUAUAAUAAUUAAGGUCUAUACACAUGAUGUGUCACCAUUUAUAAAGAUAUAGAGGAAGUGAUGAGAAUAUAUAUUUCUAUGUUAAAAUUGUAUCACAAAAUUAGGGUUCAUUAAACAAAUUCAAGCGCAUACCUGCCAUGCAAAGUGAAAAGUUAAAGAUUAUAAAUGUGGAUAAAAAUAUUAUAGAGUAAUUACUAACUAAAAUCUAUCACAAUUGAAUGAAGAUAAUAAUAUGUAUCUAUUGUGUUUGAAUAUUUAACAAACGAGAGGGAUCUUAUGGUAAUAUUUUUUAGCAAUGUAGUCCUAUUUUUUUUUUCCAUUGGAGACUCUAUUAUAUUUUCACCACUAUCAUUGUGAAAAUAUUCAAAAAUGAGCUCUAAACCUGUAUCUAAAUUACCGAGCUCAGCUAUUAUGUAUCAUAGCCAUUGAUCUAUUAUAUUUUCACCACUAUCAUUGUGAAAAUAUUCAAAAAUGAGCUCUAAACCUGUAUCUAAAUUACCGAGCUCAGCUAUUAUAAAAAAUAAUCUAAAGUAAUCCCAUAAUCUUCAUCCAAUUUACUAAUACAUAUCAUUAUAAAGCAUAACUUAAAAUAUCAUUCUAAAAUUUAAUCUAUAUUACCCACGUUAGUUGUUAUUCAAAAUAACCUAAAUUAAACAUCUAAAUCUUAAUCUAAUUAUCUUCAUGUGCAUCGUACAGAAAUAUAAAAAAUAAACUAAUAUAUAAUUCUAAAUUACUUAUUUAUGUUAUUAUUAAUAUAAAAAUACUAAGUUAAAGUAUAUACAUAUGAUGAGUGUCACCAUUUAGACCAUUUAUACAUGUAUGUGAGGAAUCGAUGAAAAAUAUUGAUUUGUAUGCUAAACAUAAUGUAUGGAGGAUUGGAGGUGCGAUACAAAAUGGAAAAAGUAUGAAUAUGGAUGAAAAAAUGCAUAGAGUAAUUAUUAAUUAAAAAUUAAUCAUAACGAUAGGUACAUAUCUAUAUAAGUAUUAUGUUGAUGUAUUGAAAAAAAUAAGAGAGUAGUAGGUAAUCAAUUUUGAUUAUUAGCUAGAAGUUUAAUUUCUAAAGAAUUUUUAAAUAUAAUAGUUUCUAAAAACAUUAGCCCGUGCAGGAGCACGGGUCGAUGGACUAGUGCUUAUAAUUUGCAGCUACAUCGUGCCAAAACCAUGUGAACAAGACGAUCGACCAAAACUAUAAAAAGAACAGAGCUGGCACAUCUAUAAGAUACUUUUUAGAUGGAGCAUGGAACCGCAGGAUAUGGUUGCAGUAAGAGUUGCUAGAUAUCCGCUAGUUUCCGGUGACACAGAGAUUAAGAGAGAUUGGUGAGCUGUUAGUGGAAACUGAAAGAGCCAAGUAUGGUGAGCUGUUCAUCGUCAGCCUCAUCAUCUUGAGCGCAGCCUUGGGAGCAGCCUCUCAUAUAUGAAUCGGACACCCUCCAUCCCUUUCCACGACCGGCAUCAUGGCCGUGCUGACAGCACCGACACCAAUCCUCACUGUCACCGCUGUCGCCACUGGACCCGCAGUGCAGAUACAGCGCACUAUGCAGAAUAGACCAUCCCAUUCCACGACCGGCAUCAUGGCCGUGCUGACAGCACCGACACCACGCCUCACUGUCACCGCUGGCGCCACUGGAGCCGCAGUGCAGAUACAGCGCACUCUGCAGAAUAGAACCUUGUCGUAUUCAAAUUUGCACCGUUUGGAUACCUCGUGUAGCACAUGUCAUCAGAUAUAGAAAUUAGGAGUAUUAAACAUAGAUUAAUUAAAAAAUUAACUGUACAGAUGGAGUCUAAUUCGUGAGACGAAUCUAUUAAGCAUGAUUUGUAGUGCUACAGUAACCAUUUGCGAUUGAUGGAUUAAUUAAACUUAAUAGAUUCGUCUCGUGAAUUAGCACAAGAUUUUGCAAUUAGUUUUAUAAUGAGCUCAUGUUUAGUCCUCUUAAUUAGCAUCCGAACAUCAUCCGAUAUAACACUGCUAAAUCUUAGCACCAGUAUCCAAACGUCCCCUCACGAGCUUGUACACAAAUUCCAAACUAGAGGACUGUUUAUUCUUGCAAACAUAACAACUGAUGACCAAACAUCCAGCAAGAGAGAUACAGAGAGGAACGAACGAUGUGUAAGGAUACAUCAAAAUACAAGGCCAGAUCCUUUGAGUUUCUCUUGUACGAUGUCGUCCAAUUUCCUGGCCAUUUCUUCACUAAUGUGAUUCACCCAAUCCCCCACCUUCCCUCUUCUAAAGUAUGCUGAUUUUUUAACCACUACGCUUCCCCUUUGAACAACUUCUGUUUGACUACUGUUCACUCCACUAAGCGUCUUGAAGCUGCACAAUCUCACAAGCUCUUCAGGAACCCCGGCAUCUUCUUCUUCACCGGUAAAUGGGGCACCGAGGAAUGAUGCCAGCACCUUGACAAACUUUACCGGCUCUAACAUCAUCUCUUCAUACUUUAGGAAAAGAAUUCUAUCAGACUUAACGCUCUCUCUCCAAUAUUCGAGACAGUGAUCCCAGUAAGGACCAUAGUCCACUACGCCCUCGCAAAACAUGUUGAAUGCAACAUUAAUAUCAGUUUUUUCUCCAAAAAAAUCACUUACAAAGUGCCACCGUGACACGAAUGCAUCCUUAGGAUCUCGGCAGAUGUACACGAUUCGGCAACCUUGGAUUCUUAUGGACUCUGGGAGCAAUGAAAGCGGCAAGUGAGUAGCAAGGAUCCUCGGAGGCGGGAGUUUUUCGAUGAAGUUCAGGUCCCCAUUUAAAGGGAUUUCAACGUCAAUGGUCGGAAUGACUUCUUGGGGGUGACGGGUGAGAAGCGGGUGGUUACCAGAGUCAUAGUGAGAACGGUUGGUGAUAGCAAAUGAGAGAGCCUUCAACCAAGUUGUACCACACUUGGGGUUCGUGGCGAGGAUGAUAUCGUCAUGGCGAGCCUUGAAGGUCGCCUCCAGGAGCAUAAUCCUCUCAAGAAAAAUCCGUCGAAACCAGAAGUUCUUGUACAGAAUUUGUGGCUCUGACGGAGUCUCUCUCAUUGGAAGUUUGGAUAUGAGAUCAGUACCAUGGCUUUCGGGCGAGCUGUUUGUGGCGCUUCUCUCCUCCUUGGCCUGUGACAUUGCUCAGCUUCUUUGGAGUUUUUGCAGUCUCUCGCUGGGAUGGAAUGGAUUGGAUGGGCGAGAGGUGUAGCUGGUGCGGAUUGAGCAGCACUGCUGGCGUGCGGAACAUAAAUAGCAGCUGGUAGCC
rnacentral:lncRNA from 1 species